rnacentral:lncRNA from 1 species
AGGAUUUUCGGGUGGUAAUUCCGUCGUAACCGUUUUUGACCCCAACAGUUAGCCCCCCAACCCGUUAGGAUCAUGCAUCGUAGGAUCCUAGCGUGCGGUUAGGCAUGUUUGGCAAGUUAGGCGUGAUGGAUGGAAUUAAUAUCCGAAAGUCCGAGCUUGAAUAGUAAAUCCUCAUGUCUUAUAAGAAGAGAGGUAACUUGUUCCAUAAUUUUUUCACUUUCUUGUUUUUCUCUAAGAUCUUUCAAAAAAACUUUCUAUCUUUCUCUCCACCCUUUUCCUCUAUUCUCUCAAGAGAAGUGUAAAGAUGUCGAGCAAGAAAAAGAUUGCGAAAAAAGGGUCUUCGUCCGCGAGUCC